AUGUUUAUUAAACAAGAGGCUCUCAAGAGCCUGAAUCGCUCACCUGGUAAACAAUGCCUUAUUGAACAUAUUGAACCAUGCCAGGCAAACAUGUACAGCUAACGAUUCUUCAAUAUUACAAAUAUAUAUGACUUACUGUUUAUAAAUAAAGAAAAUGAGACCAAAACACAAACACUUAAAACUUAGCAAUGGACUGUGAAAAUGAGGUCAAGUUCAAAUAAAACCUGCGUAACCGACAUAUAGAUCAUAAAAUAUUUUCAUACACCAAAUAUAGUUGACCUAAUGCAUAAAGUAUUAAAAAAAAUAGACCAAAACUAAAAAAGUUAACUUUGACCACUGAAUUAUGAAAAUGAGGUCAAGGUUAGAUGACACCUGUCAGCUAGACAUGUACACCUUACAAUCAUUCUAUACACCAAUUUUAGUAGACCUG
rnacentral:lncRNA from 1 species